rnacentral:tRNA from 1 species
GACGAGGUGGCCGAGUGGUUAAGGGUACGAUGAGGUCCAUUGGGCUAAGGACACGGAGGGAUAAUCCAUUGUGCUCUGCCGCGUGGGUUCGAAUCCCAUCAUCGUCG